rnacentral:misc_RNA from 1 species
GUGAAUCAUCGAAUCUUUGAACGCACAUUGCGCCCUCUGGUAUUCCAGAGGGCAUGCCUGUUUGAGCGUCAUUUCUCUCUCAAACCUUCGGGUUUGGUAUUGAGUGAUACUCUUAGUUGAACUAGGCGUUUGCUUGAAAUGUAUUGGCAUGAGUGGUACUGGAUAGUGCUAUAUGACUUUCAAUGUAUUAGGUUUAUCCAACUCGUUGAAUAGUUUAAUGGUAUAUUUCUCGGUAUUCUAGGCUCGGCCUUACAAUAUAACAAACAAGUUUGACCUCAAAUCAGGUAGGAUUACCCGCUG